UUUGGACAAUGGGGGCAACCCUGAUCCAGCCAUGCCGCGUGCGGGAAGAAGGCCUUCGGGUUGUAAACCGCUUUUAGCCGGGAAGAAAGCCCUAUGGAUAACACCCAUGGGGGUUGACGGUACCGGCGGAAUAAGCACCGGCUAACUACGUGCCAGCAGCCGCGGUAAUACGUAGGGUGCGAGCGUUAAUCGGAAUUACUGGGCGUAAAGCGUGCGCAGGCGGUUCGUCGUGUCUUGUGUGAAAGCCCCGGGCUUAACCUGGGAAUGGCAUGGGAAACUGACGAGCUGGAGUGAGGCAGAGGGGGGUGGAAUUCCGCGUGUAGCAGUGAAAUGCGUAGAGAUGCGGAGGAACACCGAUGGCGAAGGCAGCCCCCUGGGCCGACACUGACGCUCAGGCACGAAAGCGUGGGGAGCAAAC
rnacentral:rRNA from 1 species